UGCCAGCAGCCGCGGUAAUACGGGGGGAGCAAGCGUUGUCCGGAAUUACUGGGCGUAAAGCGCGCGUAGGCGGUUGUCUAAGCUAGAUGUGAAAGCCCCGGGCUCAACCUGGGAACUGCAUUUAGAACUGGGCAACUAGAGUACAGCAGAGGAGUGUGGAAUUUCAGGUGUAGCGGUGAAAUGCGUAGAGAUCUGAAGGAACACCAGUGGCGAAGGCGGCUUUCUGGACCAAUACUGACGCUGAGAUGCGAAAGCGUGGGGAGCGAACAGGAUUAGAUA
rnacentral:rRNA from 1 species